rnacentral:rRNA from 1 species
GUGGGGAAUCUUCCGCAAUGGGCGAAAGCCUGACGGAGCAACGCCGCGUGAGUGAAGACGGCCUUCGGGUUGUAAAGCUCUGUUAUAUGGGACGAACGGGCGUAUGGUCAAUACCCAUACGCCGUGACGGUACCGUAAGAGAAAGCCACGGCUAACUACGUGCCAGCAGCCGCGGUAAUACGUAGGUGGCAAGCGUUGUCCGGAAUCAUUGGGCGUAAAGGGCGCGCAGGCGGUUCGGUAAGUCGGUCUUAAAAGUGCGGGGCUUAACCCCGGGAUGGGAUUGAAACGGCCGGACUGGAGUGUCGGAGAGGAAAGCAGAAUUCCUAGUGUAGCGGUGAAAUGCGUAGAUAUUAGAAGGAAUACCAGUGGCGAAAGCGGCUUUCUGGACGACAACUGACGCUGAGGCGCGAAAGCCAGGGGAGCAAACGGGAUUAGAUACCCCUGUAGUCC